UUAAUAAACAAAGUGUUUUGGAUGAAUUUAUUGAUUCCUGACUAAGCUAAAGACACUUUCCACUUUAAAAAGCUUUGUUGACAAUAGGGGUCAAGGUCAUUGAAAUACCUAAUCUUGGUGUGACUUUAAGUAGCAAUGGUUAAUGGCAUGAACACAUUGAAAAUAUAUUACUGUCCGCUUCCAAAACUUUAGGCAUUAUGCGCAAACUGAAAUUUUCAUUUCGCAGGAAAGCUUUGAAUCAGAUUUAUAUAUCGUUUCUCCGACCAUUGUUAGAAUAUGCAGCUGUCGUAUGGGAUAAUUGUACAAAUUUUGAAAAAGAUAAUCUUGAAAAACCACGAAACGAAGCUGCAAGAAUUGUAACUGGUACAACGCGUUCAGUAUCGUUAGAAAAUCUCUAUAAGGAAAUAGGAUGGAUAUCUCUGUCCGAAAGACGGAUAUAUCAAAAAUUAAUAAUAAUGUAUAAAAUAAAACAUAAUAUGGUCCCAGAAUACUUAAGUAAUUUAUUUCCUAAUGUAGUCGGUGACAAUAACAAAUAAUGAAGAUUAUGUAAUCUUAAGAAGACGUACCGAAAUAUUUUCUAGUUCAUUUAUUCCAUCUUCUAUCUCAUUGUGGAAUGAAUUACCCAUUGAAACAAAACAACUAGAAGGCCUAUCAGCUUUCAAAAAGUUAUUAUUGACCACACGGUUUAAAGCGCCAGAAGUACCGGAGAUAUAUUCCUUUGGAGAACGAAAGUAUUCAAUUUUUCACUCUCGACUAAGAAAAAAUGCAGCAACUUGUGUUUUGAUCUUUUUAAUAAUCAUUUAGCUACCGAUUUUAGUUGUAGUUGUGGAUAUCAUAUUGAAGAUUGUGAGCACUAUCUUUUUCAGUGUCCUGACUUUGUAAAUCAAAGAAUAGUUAUGUUCCAGUCAACCAAGGACUGUCACCCUUUAAGUACAGAUACAUUACUUUUUGGAAACCCUUCUUUAUCAGUAAACGAUAAUAUUAAUAUUUUCAGAAGUGUUCAAAAAUUUAUUAAAGAUACAAAGCGAUUUGAGAAUUAAAUACUACAGUGACUUUUUGUGUCCAAAUUCAUCUAGAUUUAGUUUUGCAACAACAAGACCAACAAUAAAACUCUACAAAGCAAAAACUAAAAUAUUAGUAUCAAGCGAAAUAUAAACAUUAUGUUGUACGUGAUCUAACUAGAUUUCCUAUUACUAUUUCUCUAUUCUUUUAACUUCAAUUAUAUAAAAUUUUGCAUAGCUUUAUGAAUACACAUUUUGAAGCCGAAUCUCAUGUAAGUGAAAUUUGUUAAGGGGAGGGUAUGUAAUAAUGUUGAUAGAACUUAUUACCCAACCCUUUUGCAUAUAAUAUUGUUAAGUUUUGUACUUGAGAUGUAGAUAUUAUGUAUAUUAUAUGCAAUAAAAUAUGUUUAAACUAUGGAAACAGUCAAAUUAGUAUUGUGCAAGGUUUUUUUUUAAAUGGGAACAUGUUUAAGUCUCAUUUAGUUGACCGUGACAACAACCUGGCAUCCAUGAAAAAUUGUUCUUAGGGCUUACAGGUCAGCCAUCAAAAUUCAAUAUGCCAAGCCACGUUAGGCAAGUAACCCAAAAUUAAUUCAUUUUAAGAUCAACUACUAGUAUUAAUGUUACACUUAUCCUUGAAAUGAAAAUGGCUAGGCCCGAAAGUCUUUGUUUGAAGUUUUAAAGUUCUAUACAGAUUCUGAGUUUCUAUUAAUUGUCAAAGUAUCAUAAGUGGUGUUGUCACGAAAACAAACGUUUUAAAAUUACUUUGUUAGCUUUAAUGGCAAGUGAAACAUUUAACGUUUAACAGAAUUAUGUUUUUAUUUUUUUGCAGUUUUCCAGGUUGCCAUGAUGACAUAGAUGGCAGUCCAUACAUACACAACAUUGACGGAGGUCAGAUUUGGAGCAUAUACGACAUAAGAAGAUGACAGACUUCCAAGAUGACCGAUCUACAAAGUUAUACAGCAGAUUUGGAGCAUAUAGGGGUUACCAUGGAAACGUAUCUCUACAUCUAGGGAAUGGUAUAAAUGGAUGACUGGCGUUCAGAUGGUUACCAUGGAAACGUAUUUUUACAUCUAGGCAAUGGUAUAAAUGGAUGACCGGCGUUCAGAUGUACAAAGGUCUAGAGCAGAUCACCCUGGAAAUGUACCUCUACAUCUAGGCAACGAUAUAAACGGAUGAGCGAUGGUCAAAUGUACCAAGAUUUUGGAUCAUACAGGGUGUGUAUGUUUACCUUUUCUUUCUUAUGGCAACACAUUGAUAUAUUUGUUUCUGUUUUUACACAUAUCUUUCUGUAUCUACAUACUCAACAGGGUUACCAUGGAAACGUACCUCUACAUCUAGGCAACGAUAUAAACGGAUGAGCGACGGUCAAAUGUACCAAGAUUCUGGAUCAUAUAGGGUGUGUAUGUUUACCUUUUCUUUCUUAUGGCAACACCUUGAUAUAUUUGUUUCUGUUUUUUACACAUAUCUUUCUGUAUCUACAUACUCAACAGGGUUACCAUGGAAAUGUACCUCUACAUCUAGGCAACGGUAUAAACGGACGAGCGACGGUCAAAUGUACAAAGUUAUAGAGCAGAUUUUGGAUCAUAUAGGGUGUGUAUGUUUACUUUUUCUUUCUGGUGGCAACCCUUUGAUAUAUAUUUUUUUGCUUUUACGCACAGUUUUCUUUAUCGAUACGCUCAACAGGGUUACCAUGGAAAUCAGUAUCUACAUCUAGGCAAUGGCAUUUAUAAAUGGAUGACAGACUUCCAAGUCUACAAACAGCAGUGAGAGAAAUCUUGCAACCGAUCACGUGAUAAACGCUUAGCUUUCAACAGGCUAAGCCUUGCUAAGACCUGUUUAUGAAUUCAGGCAAACUUGAAUUUAAACAAAAUCUGGAUUAUAGGUGCGCUUAUUGAGAAAUAUAAGUUGUAUGUUUUUUCGUAAUACUUUGUGUUCAGUGUUUGCUGUUUUUGUUAGGGAUUUGUUUACAGUGAGUGGCUAUGUGAUGGUGUUUGUGGUGGUGGUGGUUGUUGUGUUGGGUGUUUUUAGUGGUGUCACGAUGACGGUGUUUGUGGCGGUGUUUGUGGUCUUGUGGCGGUUGUGGUGGUGUUUAUGGCGGUGUUUUAGUUUGUGAUGGUGUUUGGGGUGUCUUCGAUGUAGUCUUUCGGUUGUAUACCUUAUGGUUUGUGUUGUUUUGUCAAAAAGGUCUUUUUGUUGGUGCAAAUUGUUUGUCGCAUUGGGUUCUUUGCCUUUCCUUCCGUUUCAAUGUGUUGUUUUUUCUUUCUGCCACAAGCAAUAAAUUACUUCUAGAUUAUUAGAAUAUGUUAAAAUAUUGCGAUGUGUUUUAAUAUUUUUUAAUAUUUUUUUCUGUCCAAUCAAUUUUAGAUAGCUGGAAAGACAUACCAUGAAAUAUGCAGACAACAGCAGACGACACCUGGGUAAUCGCGCGCCAUGUUCCAUUCUAUUUCUGCUCUUUAUUCUUUUUGUUUUGUAUUCUUUCGUUGUUUUUUUCUACUAGAAUGACGGGGUACAUGGAGAAUAAAGACGCAGACGGAUAUGGAGAUGCAGACCAAACCAAAUGUGCGUUUCUCUUUAUCAUGAACAGGUAUGUAUAUUGCUAAUAAUAUUAUCCUAUUUUGUAUGCAUUUCCCUGCAGAUUGUUCCAAAAUAGUGGCUGAUGUUGACUACAAACAGGUGUGAAGAUAUCAUGUUGGUUAAUUGGGUGAUGCAGCAAUGGCGGCUGUUGUUGACUAUACAAGCACGUGCAAGGAUGUCAUGCUGUAGAUUUCACAACGGUUUAGUGAACGGUGCAGCUAGGUCCUUUGUCUCGGGCGCAAUGAGAAAGCAAAGGUCGAUUAUUCUCCCGCGUAGGAAUGGGCAUACAGUUUCUGGCUUUGGUGAAAGUAAACCUUAAAGUAUCCGGGACGAGAAACUUAGAACUAUUCGAUGAGAAAUUCAAACCAUUCGACGAGGAACCCGAACUAUCCAACGAGAAGCAGUUUCUUGGACCAUACACGAGGAAAAUUUAAGUUGAUGGAACAACAGUUGCGGUAGGGCUGUCUUGCCGGUACCAUAAAGAUGCAGAUAACCAGAGGUGCACUGGUUCCCUAUCGAGACGCGCUGAUACCCUAUCGAUGCCGGUCAUCAGAGGUGCGCUGGUUCCCUUUAUGUCAGCAUUAUAGUAAUCAACUAUUUUCAACAAGGUUUAAAAAGGCAAGAAGACAGUGUUUGAAAUCAUUUAAAGACAUAGAAAAAGAAUCGAUUGCAGAAAACCAAAAUAGCUUUAUGCCGUCCUGUGUUCUGAUGUUUCCGACAGCCGACAGACCAAUGCAUGCCGGAAGGUCGGCAAAGACGCAUGCAGUUAUUACAUACAUGCAGGGCUAUUGAAAAGUACGUACAUAGCUAUCGAAAAGUACGUACAGCGCUAUUGAAACGUACGUACAUGGCUAUUGCAACAGCGCUAUCGAAACGUACGUACAGGGCUAUUGAAACGUACGUACAGAGCUAUUGAAACGUACGUACAGCGCUAUUGAAACAUUUAAACUAUUGUUUAUUUUUGCCAAAUUAUUUCUUGUUGUUAAUACGCUGCCUUUGUCAAAUACUUUCAUUGUCAAUUGUUAUUCCCUUGCGAAGGAAGAAGAGAUAUAUUAUUUGUAUUGAUUAUUAUUAAAAGGAAAAAAACUGGAAGAUUUAGUUUAAUCUGAUUUGACCUUACAUCUUAAAGUAUUUCGUGUCUUAAUUACUCAUCCUCAUUUUCGGUAUCUGCAGAAAGAAGAACCUACAACAGACCUGGCACCAGCAUAGAAGCAUGGCACCACCGCAGUCGCCCUGACACAUAUUAGACACAUAUUAGACUUUUAUAUAUAUGAUUAUAUCCCCACUUACAAAGUAUAUGGGGCUAUAUAGGAGUCACGCAUGUCUACCGGUCCGUUCGUCCUUCCAUCCAUCGUGUGCACUGGGUACUCCUCGGAGGUUAAAGGUCAAAUAGCUUGGAAGAUAUUUAGCUCGACUGUUCGAAGAAUAAGGAGGGUUAUUGUACUUGCCCAGGCGUUUGCGUCACUGUCGCAAAUUUUAUCUUCUUUACUACUGCUUCUAUUAAUAUCAAACUUCACAUAAGUUCUCUAAGUGUUCAACUGACAAAGUAUGCAUUGUAGAUGAUGAAGUGAAAUCAGUGAGCUUUAUUCGAUAUCUAGGUGCAUUCCUGGAUGAAAACUUGAAUCUAAAAGAGCAUGUAAAACGAAAGUGUAGAACAGCAAUGCUCAACUACUUCAGAAUAAAAUGUAUCCGGAAAUAUCUUACCAAGGAGGCUACCGAAACCCUUGUCCUGUCAUUAGUGAUAUCCCAUUUAGAUUAUUGUAAUGUCAUUCUGUAUGGUAUUGCUCAAAGCGAAGUAAACAAAAUGCAACGAAUUCAGAACAUGUGUGCAAAACUUGUCCUAAAUCGAAGAAAAUAUGACAGUUCCAAGCAAGCGCUGUAUGACCUUCACUGGCUACCAAUCAAAGCCAGAAUCACAUUCAAAAUGCUCACCUACAUGUAUAAUUGUUCAGUUGGAACCUCUCCAGAAUAUCUUUCUGAACUUCUCAUAAAACAAACACAGACAAGAAACUUGCGUUUUUCAAACUCCGUUACUGGGUGUUUCGUUGUUCCUUUCAACAAGCGCAAAACGUCCAGCGACAGAAGUUUUGGUACUGUUGGACCUAAACUCUGGAAUGAAUUUCCUCUCGAAAUAAGGAACUCAGACACAAUAGAUGUUUUCAAAAAAGAAGUUGAAAACUCAUUAUUUUGGAAAUUACUUUGCACUCUUUUAGAGACUGUGACUGUAAUUUUUAAGAAAUUGAAGUAACGUGAACUGGAUGAUUUUAUUGUGUAAAUACAUUCGAAUAUGAACUAUAUUAUAACAAAUACAAAAUACAAUUGUUUGUAAUAACGUCUGGACAUGUCGCAAUAACCCACUUAUUCUUACUUAAUAACAAACAGCUAUCUUACUGUAUCUUAAUAUAUAUUCUAAUAUUUUAUUAAUCUUAUCUGAUGUCUGAUCUUUUUUUUUUAAU